AACCAAUCAACAUUGCGUGGCCAACUUUAUCCUCAACAGCAGUCAGCCGCCAUAGCACCCAGUUUCACAACCCCACCCAUGCCUCCACCCACGGUAUAUAUCAUGGUUGCUUUCAGUCGGCCAAUCUCAUAUUAAGUUGCUCUCUCCAUUCGCCACUGGUUUGGAACACAACCUCGUAAAAAGUCCAUGAUAAUAGAAGAAAACAAAACCACUAAAUGACCAAACAUCACCGAAUUGUUAAUGUCUAUAAAUACUACAGCCCCCAUCUGUCAC
rnacentral:lncRNA from 1 species